UUGUGAAUUAGAAGGGUGUGGGUGUGUGUGGUGUGACGUGAAAGAAAGAAAGAAAUAGAACAGACCAGAGAUACAAAUCAUGAAGGAAAAAGUCCACCAAAUUCAAAUGGGGAUUUAAUUCUUUUUAAUCUAAAUCAAGUUUCUUAACUAAUAAUAAUAACAAUAUUCCUUUAUAGUGUAUUUGGGAUUAUUAGAGAAGUUAUAACUAGGGUUCAUCAAGAAGAGAUUUGGGGAUUCAAGUUUAAGAGUAGUGAUUUCUAGUAAUUCAAAUAAAGGUUUUGAGUUCGAGUUAUCUUAAGGAUUAUUUGCAAGUUGUCGUUAAUAAGGUUCAAGUGGAUCAAAGGAUAAAGCCAAGUUGGAGUAAUUAGCUAGAGAUUUUGAGGUGAAGGUAGUGUAAUUUUGGUGAUAGUAAAUCCCUUUUGCGAACCAAGCUCUUGAACAAAUGUUUGAAAGUGUUAUUUUUUGUGUUGUGAAAUGAUCAAAUAUAGUUUGUAAAGAUGUAGUAUGUAAUAUGUUUUAGUUAUGAUCAUUUGACUAGUUUAUAUGAUAGGUCAAAUGAUAGUUGGCAAGUAAAAUUAUGUUUUAGUUAUGUUUGGUAAGUUGGAGGUAAAUUUUAGUUUGAAAAA